AUUGAACGCUGGCGGCAGGCCUAGCACAUGCAAGUCGAGCGGAUGAAGGGAGCUUGCUCCUGGAUUCAGCGGCGGACGGGUGAGUAAUGCCUAGGAAUCUGCCUGGUAGUGGGGAAUAACGUCCGGAAACGGGCGCUAAUACCGCAUACGUCCUGAGGGAGAAAGUGGGGGAUCUUCGGACCUCACGCUAUCAGAUGAGCCUAGGUCGGAUUAGCUAGUUGGUGGGGUAAAGGCCUACCAAGGCGACGAUCCGUAACUGGUCUGAGAGGAUGAUCAGUCACACUGGAACUGAGACACGGUCCAGACUCCUACGGGAGGCAGCAGUGGGGAAUAUUGGACAAUGGGCGAAAGCCUGAUCCAGCCAUGCCGCGUGUGUGAAGAAGGUCUUCGGAUUGUAAAGCACUUUAAGUUGGGAGGAAGGGCAGUAAGUUAAUACCUUGCUGUUUUGACGUUACCAACAGAAUAGGCACCGGCUAACUUCGUG
rnacentral:rRNA from 1 species